rnacentral:rRNA from 1 species
UACGUAGGGUGCGAGCGUUGUCCGGAAUUAUUGGGCGUAAAGAGCUCGUAGGCGGCCUGUUGCGUCCGCUGUGAAAGCCCGGGGCUUAACCCCGGGUCGGCAGUGGAUACGGGCAGGCUAGAGGUAGGUAGGGGAGAAUGGAAUUCCCGGUGUAGCGGUGAAAUGCGCAGAUAUCGGGAGGAACACCGGUGGCGAAGGCGGGUCUCUGGGCCGAAACUGACGCUGAGGCACGAAAGCGUGGGGAGCAAACAGG